UACAGAGGUCCCGAGCGUUGUUCGGAUUCACUGGGCGUAAAGGGUGCGUAGGUGGCUUGAAAAGUUUGAUGUGAAAGCUCAGGGCUUAACCCUGAAAUGGCAUUGAAUACUGUCGGGCUGGAGGUUUGGAGGGGGGACUGGAAUUCUUGGUGUAGCAGUGAAAUGCGUAGAUAUCAAGAGGAACACCAGUGGCGAAGGCGAGUCCCUGGACAACACCUGACCACUGAGGCACGAAAGCUAGGGGAGCAAACAGG
rnacentral:rRNA from 1 species